rnacentral:rRNA from 1 species
CUGAUUGAGAUUUUAACACGAAGUGAGUGGCGAACGGGUGAGUAACACGUGGGUAACCUGCCCAGAAGUAGGGGAUAACACCUGGAAACAGAUGCUAAUACCGUAUAACAGAGAAAACCCAUGGUUUUCUUUUAAAAGAUGGCUCUGCUAUCACUUCUGGAUGGACCCGCGGCGUAUUAGCUAGUUGGUGAGGUAAAGGCUCACCAGGCAGUGAUACGUAGCCGAC